GACGAACGCUGGCGGCGUGCCUAAUACAUGCAAGUUGAGCGAUGAAGAUUGGUGCUUGCACCAAUUUGAAGAGCAGCGAACGGGUGAGUAACGCGUGGGGAAUCUGCCUUUGAGCGGGGGACAACAUUUGGAAACGAGUGCUAAUACCGCAUAACAACUUUAAACAUAAGUUUUAAGUUUGAAAGAUGCAAUUGCAUCACUCAAAGAUGAUCCCGCGUUGUAUUAGCUAGUUGGUGAGGUAAAGGCUCACCAAGGCGAUGAUACAUAGCCGACCUGAGAGGGUGAUCGGCCACAUUGGGACUGAGACACGGCCCAAACUCCUACGGGAGGCAGCAGUAGGGAAUCUUCGGCAAUGGACGAAAGUCUGACCGAGCAACGCCGCGUGAGUGAAGAAGGUUUUCGGAUCGUAAAACUCUGUUGGUAGAGAAGAACGUUGGUGAGAGUGGAAAGCUCAUCAAGUGACGGUAACUACCCAGAAAGGGACGGCUAACUACGUG
rnacentral:rRNA from 1 species